rnacentral:rRNA from 1 species
UACGGAGGGUGCAAGCGUUAUCCGGAUUUACUGGGUUUAAAGGGUGCGUAGGUGGGCCUGUAAGUCAGUGGUGAAAUCUCCGGGCUUAACCCGGAAACUGCCAUUGAUACUAUAGGUCUUGAAUCAUCUGGAGGUGAGCGGAAUAUGUCAUGUAGCGGUGAAAUGCUUAGAUAUGACAUAGAACACCAAUUGCGAAGGCAGCUCACUACGGGUGCAUUGACACUGAGGCACGAAAGCGUGGGGGAUCAAACAGG